UGAGGGCUGAUCUGCUAAGAUAAUCAAUUGC
rnacentral:piRNA from 1 species